GGCCCCGUCGUCUACCGGUAGGACAUUGGCUCUUCAAGCCAGUAAAACGGGUUCAAUUCCCGUCGGGGCCACCA
rnacentral:tRNA from 2 species